rfam:Salmo salar isolate Sally breed double haploid chromosome ssa20, whole genome shotgun sequence.
CGCACACACGACUGUAAGUCACUUUGGAUUAAAGCGUCUGCUAAAUGGCAUAUA